rnacentral:rRNA from 1 species
ACAAGCGGUGGAUGAUGUGGAUUAAUUCGAUGCAACGCGAAAACCUUACCUACCUUGACAUGUCUGGAACCUUGCUGAGAGGCGAGGGUGCCUUCGGGAGCCAGAACACAGGUGCUGCAUGGCUGUCGUCAGCUCGUGUCGUGAGAUGUUGGGUUAAGUCCCGCAACGAGCGCAACCCUUGUCAUUAGUUGCCAUCAUUUAGUUGGGCACUCUAAUGAGACUGCCGGUGACAAACCGGAGGAAGGUGGGGAUGACGUCAAGUCCUCAUGGCCCUUAUGGGUAGGGCUUCACACGUCAUACAAUGGUCGGUACAGAGGGUUGCCAAGCCGCGAGGUGGAGCCAAUCCCUUAAAGCCGAUCGUAGUCCGGAUCGUAGUCUGCAACUCGACUACGUGAAGUCGGAAUCGCUAGUAAUCGUAGAUCAGCAUGCUACGGUGAAUACGCUCCCGGGCCUU